CUCUUCGGGUGGCUACCUAGAGAGAAUAGGGAAGGAGAAGGACCGUCGUCUUCUCUGCUACGGUGGGUGCGUGGUAGCUACGGGACGUCGGCUGACGAAGCCGCAAGAAGGUGCGCUCGCUCGUCUCCGUGGGGUACCGCGGAGGAGGAGAGGAAGAGAACCGCGCGCUUCUGGAGCUGCCUCGGUGGAGGUAGCGCAGUAGCUAGACCGGCGGCGGAGUGGACGCCGAGCUAGAAUAGACCCUCUCUACCACUCCCCACCCCCACCGCCUCAUUCCCCUCGGCCUCUCCUUCUAGGCCACGUCCUGAGGGUGCGACGUCUGAACUCCGUGGGUUGGUGCCGGUGCAGCUGCUGAGACGGAGGACUUCCUGCUGUAGGUGGUGGAGGGAGGGACGGCGGGUCUUCACUGCUCCAACGGCGGAGAGCCGUUGAAAGACACGAGAGCGUCUUUAAGGGGAAGUCUAUCACCUCGCGGCAGCGAGGGUAUCAGAAGUCGUAGUCCCGAGGACUAAGGUACCGCACGGAAUCAGAAAACCGCCCGUAUAAAUUUCAACUCCCUAGAAAAUAAGGUAAAGUUAAAAGAAACCUUUAGAAGACGGCCGAGUUCACGAGUACAGUUCCUUAUAUCGACAUAAAAAGAACCUAAAAAGUAAACGGAACGUUACGAUUACCUCUUUUCCGUUGUUUUUGAUAAGCUCCCUCUCUAACAAUUGCUUAUCUAGUUGUUUGAUAAACAGUACCUUUAACGAUAAACCUCUGGACCACGUAAAACUUUCAUACAUUGCUG
rnacentral:rRNA from 1 species